rnacentral:rRNA from 1 species
GUCCUAGCCCUAAACGAUCAGGACUUGGGGUGCCACCCGUUCGGGUGUCGUCCCGGAGCUAACGCGUUAAGUCCUGCACCUGGGGAGUACGGUCGCAAGACUGAAACUCAAAGGAAUUGACGGGGGCCCGCACAAGCGGUGGAACAUGUGGUUCAAUUCGACGCUACGCGAGGAACCUUACCUGGGCUCGAAAUGCUAGUGACCAGCUGUAGAAAUACGGCCUUCCCGCAAGGGACACUAGUAUAGGCGCUGCAUGGCUGUCGU